GUGGCCUCAAAUCAGGUAGGACUACCCGCUGAACUUAAGCAUAUCAAUAAGCGGAGGAAAAGAAACUAACAAGGAUUCCCCUAGUAACUGCGAGUGAAGCGGGAAAAGCUCAAAUUUAAAAUCUGUCAGUCCUUUGAUUGUCCGAGUUGUAAUCUAGAGAAGUGUUAUCUGCACUGGACCGUGUACAAGUCUUCUGGAAUGGAGCGUCAUAGAGGGUGAGAAUCCCGUCUCUGACACGGACUGCCAGCGCUUUGUGAUAUACUCUCAAAGAGUCGAGUUGUUUGGGAAUGCAGCUCAAAAUGGGUGGUAAAUUCCAUCUAAAGCUAAAUAUUGGCAAGAGACCGAUAGUGAACAAGUACCGUGAGGGAAAGAUGAAAAGAACUUUGGAAAGAGAGUUAAAUAGUACGU
rnacentral:rRNA from 1 species